CUGUCUUGGUCUUGCAUUCUCGGUCUUGGUUUCAGUCUUGUUCUUGUUCAUUCGGUCUUGGUCUUGGUCUUGCUAGUGUUUGUAUGAUCUUGGUCUUGGUCUUGGUCUUGCAAAAUCGCAAGACCAAGACAGAUUUUGCUCAUCACUAAUGGAAAUCAAAGCGGCAUAAAAUGCCGCCAAGUAACAGAGAAUUAAAAAAUCUGAAAAACGGUUGUCCCUGCGAGUCAGCCCCGAAACAGUCUCUUCGAGCUCGAAAACAUUACUGUGAAUAUAUUUUCGAGCUCGACAAUACUCUUUCAUGCAAUGGUUUUUUCGAGCGUGAAGUAGUCGCGUGGAAAAGCAAGAAUGGACGGUUCGGACGCGAAGGAGGGAUAUCAGGUGUCGAAAUAUUAGUCGAAGACAACAGAAGAGGGGAAAAUUCAAAUAGGCACUGAAAUCGACUAUAAGUACAGUGGCCUGUAAAGUCAACCAUUAACAGUAAAUUCAUUUUCUCGGAGUUAUUACCUGUCAGACAAUACCCAUCUUUGGUCAACAAUAAUUAUUAACUUGGGAUCAGAUCAAUUUCGAUUGAAAAAAUGUCAAAGAUACUAUUUGGAUUUAUUGCCGUUCUUGUUGUUAUUGCAAUGAUGCAAGUCACUGUCGAAGCUUGCAGUUCAUCGAAGGAAAAACCUUGCGUAGGCGGCGGACAACCGUGCUCUGGAAAUGACGAUUGCUGUUCAAAAACCUGCAUUGGGCGAAUUGAUUUAAGCGUCAAUCCCCCUGUACAGCACCAAGCUACAUGCAGUGAAAAAGAAAUAAUUUUUGACCCGUCAAAGAGAGUAAAAUCAAUCGAGUUUCACACUGAUAAAUAAACGUAUUCUUACUUCAAGAAUCUCAGUAUAAUUUCUACUACAGUAAUACUGAGUUUUAUUGUGGAACUAGAAAUAUUGUCUAACCCCAGACAGCAUUCAAAUCGGACCCGUAUGAAAAUAACAUAUAUGGUCAAAAUAUAUGUAAAAAUAUAUGAUAAAUAUCAGAACUAUAUUUUCUGAUAUAUUUUUUUUUAUAUUAAAAAAUAUAAUACUCAUCUUUUUGAAGGCGUUCUCAAGAAGUCUUAUAAUGACUUCUUAAAAGUGUCAUUUUUAAGAACUCUUAAUUAAGAGUUCCCGCGUAAACAAAUUCUCAUUCAUAAUGAAUUUAGAUCUGAAUUUCAUGACAAAACUCAGUUCGUGACACGAAUAUGACUUUUAUCAUGAAUUUACUCCAACUUUUCGUCUAGUAAAUCAGUAUUAAUUAUAAAAUUAGUUCAUUACGUCUUUGAAUUAUCCCAAGACCAUUGGUCUUGGGAUGACUUCGAUAGAAACUUGACUAAAUUUUCACCUUUUGUCAAAUUUAUCAAUUCAGAAAUUACCAAUAAAUUUCUUCUAUCAAGUACUUAAGUGACGUAAAUCAGUUUCGAUUGUAAAAUUAAUUUAGUUAAUGAACUUCGGAUCGCUUGGAUUUAAAUUUUACUGUCAUAAUUUUGACGUGAUUAAAGUUCUUGAUAUGAAUUCAUGAUGAAAGUCAUAUUUGUGUCACGAUCUGAGUUUCGAGAUGAAAUUUAUAUCGAAAUUCAUUAUGAACGAUAAUUUUUUUACACCGUUUCUUGAAGACUCCAUAAAUAAGACGUCCAAAUGCAUCCUUUUGUUACGUCCUAGCCUGGUCAUCAAAUGGUUCUGCCAAUUUUUAAAUCUUAAAUAAUAAUAGACCGACCUGAGACCCGCCAAAUCGAUAUAUUUAAAUAAUAGAAUUAUUAAUAAUAAUACAUUUUCUUUAUAAUGUAUAUCAAUAAGUAUCCAUCUAAAAAUAGUCAAAUAGAUAAGAUAUUUUUAAUGCAUUAGAAUAUUUAUUCAUCACCGACGAUUUCUCUAAAAGAAUGUUAACGAAUAAAAAUAGAUAAGAAUAAUUGUACGACAAAUAAUGACUGUUAAAAGAAUAAAAAAGUGAAAUUAGUUUUUCCACGAAAAAGUGAAAACAUUGAAAAACAUCGUCCGACUGCGGACGCAACAGUAUCCGCGUCGAACGAUGAUAGCGAAACUCCCUCUUUUUGGGAAUAAGGCCCUAAAAUCUUAUCCCACUUUUCUCUAGGGUGUUGGCUUAUGUAAAGAUAUAAAAAGCCGAUGCCCAAUGCAUCACUCUCUCACAUCAACUAGAAAUUAUAAUAGUGCAGAUUAGAACACACAAGUAAACUCCCGGUUUAAUUAAAUUAAUUUAUUCUUUUGACACGAAGUUAUUUGUCCAAUAGUAAUUGUAAAAUUCAAGUGUACUUGAAGAUCCCCGUAUGAAAAUAACAUAU